GACAGAGGGUGCAAACGUUGCUCGGAAUCACUGGGCGUAAAGCGCACGUAGGCGGACUCUUAAGUCGGUGGUGAAAUCCUGGAGCUCAACUCCAGAACUGCCUUCGAUACUGGGAGUCUCGAGUUCGGGAGAGGUGAGUGGAAUUCCUAGUGUAGAGGUGAAAUUCGUAGAUAUUAGGAAGAACACCAGUGGCGAAGGCGGCUCACUGGUCCGGUACUGACGCUGAGGUGCGAAAGCGUGGGGAGCAAACAGG
rnacentral:rRNA from 1 species